GAUGAACGCUGGCGGCGUGCCUAAUACAUGCAAGUCGAGCGAACAGACGAGGAGCUUGCUCCUCUGACGUUAGCGGCGGACGGGUGAGUAACACGUGGAUAACCUACCUAUAAGACUGGGAUAACUUUGGGAAACCGGAGCUAAUACCGGAUAAUAUAUUGAACCGCAUGGUUCAAUAGUGAAAGACGGUUUUGCUGUCACUUAUAGAUGGAUCCGCGCCGCAUUAGCUAGUUGGUAAGGUAACGGCUUACCAAGGCGACGAUGCGUAGCCGACCUGAGAGGGGGAUAGGCCAAACUGGAACUGAGACACGGUCCAGACUCCUACGGGAGGAAGCAGGAGGGAAUUUUCCGGAAUGGGGGAAAGCCUGACGGAGAAAAGCCGCGUGAGUGAUGAAGGUCUUCGGAUUGUAAAAAUCUGUUAUUAGGGAAGAAAAAAUGUGUAAGUAACUAUGCACGUCUUGACGGUACCUAAUCAGAAAGCCACGGCUAACUACGUG
rnacentral:rRNA from 1 species